rnacentral:rRNA from 1 species
AUUGAACGCUGGCGGCAGGCCUAACACAUGCAAGUCGAGCGGAGCGGCGGACGGGUGAGUAAUGCCUAGGAAUCUGCCUGGUAGUGGGGGAUAACGUCCGGAAACGGGCGCUUAUACCGCAUACUAUCAGAUGAGCCUAGGGCGGAUUAGCUAGUUGGUGGGGUACAGGCCUACCAAGGCGACGAUCCGUAACUGGUCUGAGAGGAUGAGGAGUCAAGCUGGAACUGAGACACGGUCCAGAAUCCUACGGGAGGCAGCAGUGGGGAAUAUUGGACAAGGGGCGAAAGUCUGAACCAGCCAUGCCGCGUGUGUGAAGAAGGUCUUCGGAUUGUAAAGCGCUUUAAGUUGAGAGGCGUUACCGACAGAAUAAGCACCGGCUAACUUCGUGCCAGCAGCCGCGGUAAUAC